rnacentral:rRNA from 1 species
AGCGAACGCUGGCGGCAGGCCUAACACAUGCAAGUCGAACGAACCCUUCGGGGUUAGUGGCGGACGGGUGCGUAACACGUGGGAACGUACCCUUAGGUUCGGAAUAAUUCAGGGAAACUUGAGCUAAUACCGAAUGUGCCCUUCGGGGGAAAGGUUUAUCUCCUUUGGAGCGGCCCGCGUCUGAUUAGAUAGUUGGUGAGGUAAAGGCUCACCAAGGCUACGAUCAGUAGCUGGACUGAGAGGAAGGCCAGCCACACUGGGACUGGGACACGGCCCAGACUCCUACGGGAGGCAGCAGUGGGGGAUCUUGCGCAAUGGGCGAAAGCUUGACGCAGCCAUGCCGCGUGGAUGAUGAAGGUCUUAGGAUUAUAAAAUUCUUUUACCAGGGGCGAUAAUGACGGUACCUGGAGAAAAAGCCCCGGCUAACUUCGUGCCAGCCGCCGCGGUAAUAC